rnacentral:rRNA from 1 species
UACGAAAGGGGCUAGCGUUGCUCGGAAUCACUGGGCGUAAAGGGUGCGUAGGCGGGUCUUUAAGUCAGGGGUGAAAUCCUGGAGCUCAACUCCAGAACUGCCUUUGAUACUGAGGAUCUUGAGUUCGGGAGAGGUGAGUGGAACUGCGAGUGUAGAGGUGAAAUUCGUAGAUAUUCGCAAGAACACCAGUGGCGAAGGCGGCCCACUGGCCCGAUACUGACGCUGAGGCACGAAAGCGUGGGGAGCAAACAGG